UCUUCCCAUUCUAGUGCCUGCUCCCCGUCCAGCUUCUUUGAAAAUUGCUUUUGUCUUCUGUAACUACUGAUGAAAUAAAAUUUAUAUUUUAAGGCAGGACAAGAGAAAUUAAACAUAAAUUUCCCUUUCAGUGUCUGUUUAGGCCUCCUUUCUCCACAAUGUGCGGUGUGCAUCUGCAUUACACAUUAACCAGAGCUUCUGAUGCUUCUUACUCACCUCUUCAUAAUUUUAAGUGUGAUCAUUUAAGAUUAGAGUGUAGUGAAUUCAUAAUUUUCAGGAAGUGAAGAUCUAAAAUUUUGCAUAUGGUGGUAAUAGGAUGUGUUCCUAGUACAUCUGAACUUAUCACUUGAUAUGGUUCAGUGCAGGCCACCCCAAAAUGUGCCACUUUGACAUAUUGGUUAUACUUAAGAGACAACGAAGAAGGACACUCUGAACCUUCAUUGUCCCCCUGAAAGCAGGAAAUAAAUCUCCCAUACAAAAGGUAUCCUCCUGUUAACAGAAUGUAAAAAGAUAUUCUAAUCACCAAAGAUAGGGAACAGAAAGCUAAGAAGGCUGCAUAAACAAACUGUUAUUUUACUAAUUUAAUACCCUAAGACAAAACUUCUUUGUUUUGUCAAUUUUUCACAAAUGUAUUGUUUCUUUGUCUAAAAGGUAUAAAAGCUGCCUACUUGGGUCACUUCUCUGAGUCUCAUUUUUCUAUGAGCUCCCAUACAUAUGAAUUAAAUUUGUUUUUCUCCAGUUGAUCUGCCAUAUGUCCAUUUAAUUAUUACAGCAGCCAAAGAAUCUAGAAGAGAAGAAAGAAAAAUUUUUCCUCCCCACACACCCAUUAACAAGAUACGUGAUGAAUUAACUAUGACUUGAGUCUGCUAUGCUAUGAAGUAAUUCCCGGGGCACAUAAAGCCUGAUCAUCACUGAGGUAGAGCAAAGGGAAGAAAAAAACAAAUGGUAAGUGCUGAUGCCUGAUCAUUCAAAUCUUCCACCUUGAGGUGAGUAGGGGAUGUGUGAAGAAUUUUAAACCACUGAUUCUCAAACUUGCCAGAGCGUUGGAAUCAUCUGAGGAGUUUUGGAAAACUGCGAUGCCUGUGUCCCAUCAGAGAAGUUCUGAUGUAAUGUUCCGGGGCAUAGCCUAAAAUUGGGGAGUUUUAGAAACUCCCCAGGCGAUUCUAACGUGCAGAAAAGUUUGAGAACCAUUGUCCAGAUUUAAACCUAAAAUGUUCCUCCGUUUCUAUAUGUACAUUCACCAUUCCACAGUUUUUGAAAUUAGAUUACUCAGAAGUUGAUAUAUUGAUAGAUAAUAUGUUAUUGAUUAAACAGAGUUCCAUAUAUACCUAUAUAUGGCAUGGUCUGGCACAAUAUUUCUUUGAUUAUACAUCUAAUUUCACCUGGCACACAUAUGCAUUAUUCUUUUUGAGUUGAAAAUGUGGCCCCGUCCUGCCUGUGUUGCCAGAUUGGCAUUGACAGUAGUGUGUCUAUUAAAGCUGUCUAACUUUCAUGUACUGGGAUCCUGACUCAUUAAAAUCAAUAAUUUUCAUGACUCUCAGAGAGAGGGCUAGGUAGCAUUGGUGCUUAAAUCUUUGUCCUACCACCUGAGAAGCAGAUUUUUCUGUCUGAGAGUAGGAUACUGGUCACUGUAAACUUUGCUAAAUAUCCAAUUUAACCUUAAUUUUUAAAGUGUACUUAUGUUGAAAUGUGCUGAAUAAGAAUGAGAAUUCUAUCAGAAUAUAAGGCCACUGCUUCUAGGUUUCAUCCCAUUCCUGCUAUGUCCCCUUACUGAAUUAAGUAAUUUAGUUGACCUCCUUUGUCUAUUGAAGGCCAAGUAUGUGCCCAGGAUACAAUAUGUUUCUCUGCAUUUCUCUCAUCAAAUUGGUGGAUGCUUAGAUGCUUGGAUACUACUAGACUGAAAAUACUAAGAAGCGGGGGCUGCCCUGAGUGGCACGCGGGAUCUUAGUACCCUGACCAAGGAUGGAACACUGAAGUGGAAGAGGAGCGCCAGGGAAGUCCCCAGAGGCUGUUUUUCUUUCACGUGUCCGUUCAUAUAUAACAGGAGAGUCCCAUGAACUGCUCUAUGGUGAAUUGUGUACUCACUGAAAGUGCUGUAGAAACAAUCCUCGCUGGAGAAGUAAUAAGACAAUGUUCGCUCGGGGAUCAAGGCUUCCAAGGGUGGUGGUGGUAGCUCUCAGAAGUCUCCAGAGCCAGCAGUCACUAAAAUCAGAGCACCAGAUGCAAAUGUACAGUUUCCUCUUCAGGAGACACUGACACUCUGGACCUCCUCAGUGGAAGAGUUUGAAGACAGCACUAGCCCAGAGUUCCCUGGAGAGGAUGACAUUGGGCCUGUAAGUGUGUGUUUAAUUAGGAGCCUGCCCCUCAAGCAGCAGCUAGGAAGACACAUAAGUGUAAGCUCUCUAGUUUAAAAUCACGAUAAAAGACUUGACUUACGUCUGCAAAACUGCUUCAUGGUAUCCCUUGGAUUAGUUUAGUGCCUGAUUGAAUAAUCAGAGGUGUGUGCAUGCUCAAACAUGCUGCUGCCCUCACUUCCCCCUUUGUGGUCUAGCCCGGCCAAGUUGGCAUGUCAAGAAGCCAUCAUGAGGUUAUAUGCUGAGAAAGUUAUCAAACAUAAAAAUAAGUC